rnacentral:rRNA from 1 species
CCCCUAUCUAUUAUACCCUUAAAUCAACAGGGCCUUUGUCUGUCGGUUUUAGGUUGGGGUGACCGCGGAGCAUAAAUUAACCUCCAAGAUGAACUGGACUAACCCAUUAUCUAAGAUUUACACCUCAAAGAAUCAGCACACUGACAUAAAAUGAUCCGACAUUCGAUCAACGAACCAAGUUACCCUGGGGAUAACAGCGCAAUCUACUUCAAGAGCCCCUAUCGACAAGCAGGUUUACGACCUCGAUGUUGGAUCAGGGUAUCCUAGUGGUGCAACAGCUACUAAAGGUUCGUUUGUUCAACGAUUAAAACCCU